AUUGAACGCUGGCGGCAUGCCUUACACAUGCAAGUCGAACGGUAACAGGUUAAGCUGACGAGUGGCGAACGGGUGAGUAAUACAUCGGAACGUGCCCAGACGUGGGGGAUAACGUAGCGAAAGCUACGCUAAUACCGCAUACGAACUGAGGUUGAAAGCGGGGGACCGUAAGGCCUCGCGCGUUUGGAGCGGCCGAUGGCAGAUUAGGUAGUUGGUGGGGUAAAGGCUUACCAAGCCUGCGAUCUGUAGCUGGUCUGAGAGGACGACCAGCCACACUGGGACUGAGACACGGCCCAGACUCCUACGGGAGGCAGCAGUGGGGAAUUUUGGACAAUGGGCGCAAGCCUGAUCCAGCAAUGCCGCGUGCAGGAUGAAGGCCUUCGGGUUGUAAACUGCUUUUGUACGGAGCGAAACGGCUUCCACUAAUACUGGGGGCUAAUGACGGUACCGUAAGAAUAAGCACCGGCUAACUACGUGCCAGCCGCCGCCGUAAGAC
rnacentral:rRNA from 1 species